rnacentral:tRNA from 1 species
CGCGGGAUAUUAUCAAUGGAAGAUAGCCGGGCCCAUAACCCGGAGGUUGCCGGUUCAAAUCCGGUUCCCGCUA